UGGUGCUUUGAAUGAGAAUGUGCACC
rnacentral:piRNA from 1 species